UGUGGUUAACCGGCACAUCGAUUGAGGGGUAAACACUUAAGGGUACCAAGUAAUUUGCAUGGUUACUUCACACCUUGUUUUGUGAUCCUCGGCAUCCCAGUCACAAAACCUGAAGGGCACACUCGAGAUUGAAACAUGCCAUUGAACAGUUCAAUGAAUCUCAAAGAUCUAGGAGUUUCAAAACCAAUUAAAACCUAAUAAUACAUUUCGUUUAUCUUGGUGGAAAUUGGUGAAUCGUCAUUCACCUACCUUCAAAUAUUUUAUAGCUUGGAUUACGGCAUACCUCUUCUAAGUUAUAAAAUAGUUUGUUGGGUCCUAGCCUUAAUAUUUCAUAUUGGGUGUCAUAUUAAGGACUUUAAAUCAACUAUCUUGAAUAUCUCCCAAAAGAUGUCUGGUUUAGACACCUAUGAUCUUCCCAAAUCUCUUGAAACAAGGUUUCCUAAUGAAGAUGAUGUCCCAUGGAUAUCAUACUUCUUCACCUCUUCAAAUUAUUCUCCCUAACCCACAAGUUCUUGAAAAGUUUAAGGUCACUCAGGCCCUAUUGGCAAGGCAAGGUCUAGGUGUGGUCACAUCUUGGAGAUGUAGUCACAUAUUGACAAGCCGGGAGACUUGGGUGUCAAAGUCUUGAGAAAGUUGGUGGUUCAACUUCUUUCUAAGUCACAUAGUGAGUUCUUUUGGAACUCCUGUGAAACAGACUAAGACAAGACCCUAAAUGAUCUUAUCUAUUUGNAUAGCUUGGAUUACGGCAUACCUCUUCUAAGUUAUAAAAUAGUUUGUUGGGUCCUAGCCUUAAUAUUUCAUAUUGGGUGUCAUAUUAAGGACUUAAGAUCAACUAUCUUGAAUAUCUCCCAAAAGAUGUCUGGUUUAGACAUUUAUGAUCUUCCCAAAUCUCUUGAAACAAGCUUUCCUAAUGAAGAUGAUGUCCCAUGGAUAUCAUACUUCUUUCAUAUCUUCAAAUUAUUCUCCCCAACCCACAAGUUCUUGAAAAUUUAAGGUCACUCAGGCACUAUUGGAAACGCAAGGUCUUGGUGUGAUCACAUCUUAGAGAUGUAGUCACAUAUUGACAAGCCGGGAGACUUGGGUGUCAAAGUCUUGAGAAAGUUGGUGGUUCAACUUCUUUCUAAGUCACAUAGUGAGUUCUUUUGGAACACCUAUGAAACAGACUAUGACAAGACCCUUAAUGAUCUUAUCUAUUUGUUAAGAUCAACUUCCUAAAACUUUAUGGACAUUGACAAUGAUGACAUUGGAUAUCCAGUAAAGCAUUCUCUUCCCAAUGGAAAGGGAUCGGCCAUAGUCAACUCGGUUGACCAAAUGGUAAAGAGAAAAAGCUAAGUCUGUAAUAGUACCGUGUACCAUUAUCAAAGGGUCCAUAUGUUUAUAUUGCCAAAGAAAGGGGCAUUGGUUGCGAAGCUGCCAAAUUUACCUAAGGAUGUUAAAGUCAAUAAGUUUGACUCUACUUCAGGUAAAGUCCACUAUCUAACUCUGUUAAGUUUCUAUUCUGAGAUUCUUGAUACAUGAUGUGACUGGGUCACAUGGUGAUGUUUUAAGAAUCAAAGAAAAGUGAAGAAACUUAAAGAAAG
rnacentral:lncRNA from 1 species